UUAUUUGAGAGUUUGAUCCUGGCUCAGGACGAACGCUGGCGGCGUGCCUAAUACAUGCAAGUUGAGCGCUGAAGGUUGGUACUUGUACCGACUGGAUGAGCAGCGAACGGGUGAGUAACGCGUGGGGAAUCUGCCUUUGAGCGGGGGACAACAUUUGGAAACG
rnacentral:rRNA from 1 species